rnacentral:rRNA from 1 species
UACAGAGGGGGCAAGCGUUAUUCGGAAUUAUUGGGCGUAAAGGGUGCGUAGGCGGUCGGGUAAGUCUGAUGUGAAAUCUCACAGCUUAACUGUGAAACUGCAUUGGAUACUAUCCGGCUAGAGGAAUGGAGGGGAGACUGGAACACUUGGUGUAGCAGUGAAAUGCGUAGAUAUCAAGUGGAACACCAGUGGCGAAGGCGAGUCUCUGGACAUUUCCUGACGCUGAGGCACGAAAGCCAGGGGAGCAAACGGG